rnacentral:rRNA from 1 species
UACGAAGGGGGCUAGCGUUGUUCGGAAUCACUGGGCGUAAAGCGCACGUAGGCGGAUGUGCCAGUCAGGGGUGAAAUCCCGGAGCUCAACUCCGGAACUGCCUCUGAUACAGCACGUCUUGAGUUCGAGAGAGGUGAGUGGAACUGCGAGUGUAGAGGUGAAAUUCGUAGAUAUUCGCAAGAACACCAGUGGCGAAGGCGGCUCACUGGCCCGAUACUGACGCUGAGGCACGAAAGCGUGGGGAGCAAACAGG